rnacentral:rRNA from 1 species
GACGAACGCUGGCGGCGUGCUUAACACAUGCAAGUCGAACGGAAAGGCCCUGCUUUUGUGGGGUGCUCGAGUGGCGAACGGGUGAGUAACACGUGAGUAACCUGCCCUUGACUUUGGGAUAACUUCAGGAAACUGGGGCUAAUACCGGAUAGGAGCUCCUGCUGCAUGGUGGGGGUUGGAAAGUUUCGGCGGUUGGGGAUGGACUCGCGGCUUAUCAGCUUGUUGGUGGGGUAGUGGCUUACCAAGGCUUUGACGGGUAGCCGGCCUGAGAGGGUGACCGGGCACAUUGGGACUGCGAUACGGCCCAGACUCCUACGGGAGGCAGCAGGGGGGAAUAUUGCACAAUGGGCGGAAGCCUGAUGCAGCAACGCCGCGUGCGGGAUGACGGCCUUCGGGUUGUAAACCGCUUUCGCCUGUGACGAAGCGUGAGUGACGGUAAUGGGUAAAGAAGCACCGGCUAACUACGUG